rnacentral:lncRNA from 1 species
UUCAGCCCGCUAGAAGCAGCUAUCGCUAAACCUAGAAGCAGUCCCUUGACAAGUGAGAGCUCUAAAGUGAGGCGAUCGGAGAUAGCAACCGAAGUCACAUUUUACAUGAUCCCAGCUAUGCUUCUUGUCUCCAGAAACAGCAUAAGCACCUCUCUCCUGGUUGGCGCGGUGUUCCAUCAAGUGUACAUGUUCCACAAGGAGAUCCUUCUGGACUACGUGCACCAUGAUAUCACCAGGAAGUGGUCUUUGAUAUACUUCAAGCUGCUUCUGCUGGUGAUGGCGAAGGACACCAUCAUGUACUUCAAUUUGUUCCCUUUUUUCUAAGCUCGGCCUUUUAGUUUCUCGAUGGACCCGCAAUGCACUCAGCUGCAG